GCCAUUUUGAGGAUGGAAAAUUAAAUCCUAAGGACCAACGUGGCAGCUGGCCAACUGGUAAUCAUGCUGAGCCUUCAGAAUUAUGCCUGGCAUUUAUGCACAAAGCAAGCAGAUGAAGCUUGCCAGGCGGGAGCUAGCAAACAAGAAGUACGCGGAGCAAAUAUGAUACAGGGAGAAAAAAAAAAUCUACAGUGGCAAAGGGAAAGCUGUAAUUCCAGGACAUCAUUUUCAGUGGUGAUAUAUGCAGCAGCUUGCAGUAGUGGCAGUGAAGAAAAAUUCCAGAGAUGAAAAGGCUAGAACAACCCCUUAAUCUCCUUCGUGCCUGUCCUGUGUGACAAGAAAGUCUCCCUUUGAAAUGAGAAGAGAUACAGCCUAUGAGAGGAAAGUUUGAGCAUAAAGAGAUUGGGCAACACUCAGAGGUGCCACAGGGAAAGCCGGGAGAGAAACAACCGUUCACUGUGGACAAAGCUAUAAGACUGCAUUCCUGCCUGGAAAACCUCUGCAACUACAGUCAAGUGACAACACCUUUCCGUUGAAGCAGUUUCACACGUGCCAGAAACUGCUACACAAUGCCAUAAGCAGCAAAGAAGCUGAGCAGGAGGUGACUUGAAACAGAGAUCCAUCACCAUGUCUGGAAGUGAAGAGGAUGUAUAGUGGGGGGGGCUGGGGGUCAGCUUACUUACCAAGAUCACAUAGCCUAAAGAAAGUGGACUUGGAUCUUCAGCAAGUCUAAGAUGAAUACUGCUCUUCUCCUUAUAGCAACUAGCCCUAAACACAAAGCCAAUACCUCAUUAGAAGACUCCCUUGUACGGAGAAAAUAAGCUGCUUCUUCACCUAGAUACCCAAGUGACUGAUCACUGAGAGGGCACCUUGUAGGGUGACACCAAAUGAUCAGUGAACAGAAAUAGGAGUCCAAAACUAUUUAGCUAUUUGUAAUAUUCAGCUACAGACACAGGCUCAUCUAGUCCAGAUGCUUGAGAACACUGACGUUACAGCCAACCCAGAGUCUGCUUUUGUUUAAGACAGCCUUUGGUACCUAAACAGAUUUGAGGCUGUUGGAAGACCACCUGUGUGUGUUGGUGCUAACUUCAAAGAGGGCUGAGACGUGAUCCCAGAGAAAACCAGAACCGGUAUGUACAAGAGUCCUUCCACUGCAGGCACAAAGUGUGUGUCCCCAAACAUGUCACAUUCAAUAAGAAAGGCUCUGGCGGAAAGAUGGAACUAGUACAUCAGGGCAUUGUAUCAUCUGAAAACAGUCUUUUCCUAAGGUAAUGUUGGCUAGGGACUUUUUUGAGUAGAUGGGGCCUCAGAACUGACAAACGUAACUAGUGUGUCAAUGUGCUAAUGAAGUUAGUCGUGCAUUGUUUGGAAAAUGGUACGUUUCCUCACAAGAUUUGCAAUUAAACAUCUAACAGAAAAUAAUGAUUUCCUUGCAGGCACUUAGGCACCAAAUAUAAAGACACAGAGGGAGAGCUAACCAGUGAAAGUACCUGCUAAAUACCACUAUUGAAAGCCACAGCUAUUUAUGAGUCUUUGUAUUCACUGUUGAUUGUAAGAACUAUAAAAUUAAAGUAUCCAGUGGGAGAAAGUAUGAUAUUUAACUUGCAGAAUUCCUUUCACAUACAGAACAGGUGCUUCUUUUUAUAAAGUGCAGGAGUUGGGAAGUUGAGAAAGAUAGCACACUGAUUUGCAUGUGUAUCAUCUUACUGAGGAGGAACAAGACAUUAGCUAAAUUACAAAGGGGGAAAACUGUAUUUUGCUGCAUAUAAGUAAAGAUUUCUAUAAUGAGCUUGAGUAAGCAGGAGAGCGGUGUUGGCUUGCAUGUGGAUUUCUGCCCACUGCAAACAGCAUGGGCAACUGUACCUUUCACUCGAAUCAGCUGGAAAGUUUUAUUAUGUUGAGCAGAGAUUCACAUUUGCACUGUUUGAACUUACACAAAAUAUCAGGAAAAAGAAAAGGGAAACAUGAGAGCAAAUCGAGUGUGAAACGUUUUGAAGACAUCCAGUCAAACAAUUUUUUUGAAGGAAGUUAUUGCUUCUUCCUGCAUCACUUUGCUCUUAUUUUUCAUUGUUCUUCAUCUUCUUUGUCUUUAUUUAUAUACUGAUGAGUCAAGAGAAAAAAAAAAAAAAAGGAAAAUGGUCACAGACAAGAUUCCUACAAUAAUAUUUGCCUACACACUGGUAUGGUUGAAGGUACAAAUUUGGCUAUCACAGCCUAAAAAGGCUGUCUGUCCUUCUGUGAGACAAGAAUGCCAAAAUCUAUGUGCUCUAGUUUCUACUUUCAAGUAAAGACUUCUGAAGUCUUGUUUUAAGAAAUGAGGCUGCAGGGAAUUCUCCUAUUUAAGAGAUAAUCUAGAUUAAAAAAGAAAAGAAAAGAAAAAGGAUAAUCUAAUUCAAUAAGAAGAUGUGAAGAUUUCAUUUGCAAGACUUCUCCCUUGAGAAGAGAGCAGCUUCUCUUUAAAUAAACAAACAAGUUGAUUUAUUCAUAAUUACUCUGGGUAGAUAUUUUUUGCCAAUCAAACAUAACAGGUAUACAUUGCAGAACAACUCCACAGUGAAUUAAGAGGAUGCAACUGAAUAAAAACAAGCAGGUCAUCACAUUUAGGCUAGAAUAAUGAACUGCAAAAAUAAAAGGUGAGGAAGGACAAUCUAAGUAACGGCAUGGCAGAAAAUGAUUUGACUGUUAACAUAGAUAACAGGCUGAAUGGGAGUAAACAGUGUUAAGCAGCUAUUAAGGAAAAAUAAAGGCGAAGGCUGCAAUUUAUAGCCAGUGUUAUCACUCUCAAAACAUUCAGUAGAUCUUCAGAUGUCCUUUGAGCUGCUUAUUCCACAGCUAUUGGAUGCUGUGUCCAGUUUUAGGUACUUCAAGGAAGGUACGACCUAUUGAAAAAAAUCAGAGGAGGACAACCGUAAUUACCAGGCUUCAUCUAAGCAUAAUCAUAAGGAAAGGCUGAAGUAAUUGCCUUAGAUUUAGUCUAAGCUUUAUUUGCACCGCUACCAUUUUCCUGGUGCGUUACCAGGAUACACCUUGGGAAAGGCAGGGGGGGACAGGAGAAAAUGGGAAAAAAUUCUUCCCUAUGAUUGCAGAUUGCUCUCCUGCUCUGAAGCAGCUGCCAUCGGAAAUUGUUUUCAAAGAACCUUCGCCUUGCCUCUGUGCUGAAUGAGCCUACGGAAUAAGCUGGCACGAGCUUGAUUUGAAAUGAAAUAACUCCCAUUUAGAGUGAACUGUGUGAUGAAGAUGUAGUUAUAAAAUAAAUAAUGAUUCAGCUCUUUCAGCUCUAACUUUCAAUUUUGUCCUUAUUAAGUUGCUCAACCAGGUGUUGAAGCCAAUAGAAUUUGCUUUUUCCCCUGUUGGAAAGCUAUUUUGAGUGCAGCGUGACUGGAGAACAGCCACUUAUUAGCUGCUCGGCUGUGCUUUCAGCUUUUCUGCUAGAAUCCCCCGCAAUUGCUUGAACAACACAUUUGCCAAUACUCAUCUAGCUCAAUCAGUACCUAUAAGGCUGCGAUAUGAAAUUACGCGGUGGUUGCGGUGGUGGUGAGUUACCUGCUGUUUAACAUCUUUGUUUCAUGGCAUGGUGCUGGGAGGGAUGCAAUGCCAACUUUGAGCUUCAGUUUGUAUUCGAAUCUUUCACUCCUCACGCUAUCCACUUGAAUUCCCCUGUAGUUUCAGUACAGUAUGCAUCCUGGCAGAAAUUCCUGAAUAACGUUACAGAGUUGCUGUGGCUCAUGCUGGAGCUAUCUUUCCUUCGAUGACGAGGGACGUAAUCCAUCUGCAUCCCAACUGGACUGCGAGGAUUAAUUAACGUUCACAAUGGGCUAUGAGUUCCUUGCAUGCUAUUGAAGUGGAAAUUAUUAUUUGUUACAGCCAGUCUGAAUGCCAUAUGGGAUUUCCACGUCAGGGUUUCAGCUCUGUUGUGCAUCAACAAGCUUGAACUGGUACCAUGAAGAAAAGAUUAGCAUUACAUUUCGUUGUUGUGUAUUUGGUGCUGCGUCUACCUAAGGACAAAUAUUUCCUGAGAAGCAGAGCUCUGCAAAACUGAACUCCAUGGUCUUUUCUGUAGCUCAAAGCCUGCAACAUCCCUUUCCAUCUGCUGCGCUUCUACUCUGGUACGGGCUGAAGCCACAGAGUAGUGGAUUCCUUGGAACUUCUCAGCCAUGUUUGUUUGUUAUUGCCUUCAAGUCAGCUUUGGGAGUCUGUGCAAGAAAUAAAGGUAGAAUCUGGCUCUGCAUUUUGCAACAGAUGCUUUUCCCCAUGUAGUAGAUUUGUACCUUUGUGCUACUUCAGGGACUGAGUAAAAUGGACUCAUCAUGCCUGAAACUCAAGUCAGAGAUGUGUGAUGCAUAGCCAUUCCACAAUAUUCUUCUAUGCUUGCAACACCUACAAAAUAGAACCUAAAACGUACUUUGCUAGUUUGCAGGGGCAAAUGAAUUUGUUACUUUGCUUCUAUGCAUCAGCUUUAGUUUAGCUUAGAGCGCAUUUUAAAACACUCCUGUGACAUCAGUCCUUGCAAGCCCUUACAAACAAACCAGUUUUAAAUGAGUGUGGGAAUUCCUGCAGUAUUAUGACAGACACUCAUCACUGACAGAGGAAACAAAUAAAAUCUAAUUGCCCAGUUUGCUUGUGAGGGUUCCCUGGAAAAGAUCAGCCAUCAAACAGUUUGAAAUUAGCUUCCUAGCUGAAGGAUUCUCUUUUGUUUCUCACACAAAUAAACGGGGAUGCUUGGCUUUCCAAAACAGGCACUGUUAAAGAGAUACAAGUAUAGAGUUCUCACCACAUACAUUUUAUAUAUAUAUAUAUAUAUAUUAACAUUUAGCUGGCAGGUUUCAGUUUUAUAGGUAAGACUCCAAUUCUGAUCACUAAACACAUGCCAAAAGUUAGAUGCAAUCCCAAUGAGCUUCUUGCACACCCACACCCCUGUAGCGUUAUUCUUCUCAACCUUCUAAGCAUCCCCUCCGAUUUUGUGAACAACCACAAAGCAUGUUUGGCAGUAAUUCUGCUGUAACUGCUCUUCUGUGAGGAUGUUACAACAGAUCAGUUGAAAGCAAAGUUAAAUACAACGAAAGUAAAUACAAAACAGUAUCAAAGCAAAAGAUGUAGGGGUGUAGGAAAAACAAACAAACAUAAUGUCAGGAAAAAAAAAGACAGGUUUGGAGAUGAGAGAUUAUGGGAGUGAUGCAAGAAGAACAGGGAUGGAUAGAGAAGGGACUAGGAAUGAAAAUAAAAGAAUGACACAGGAGAAACUGACAUCAACGUUUUUAUUACAAGAUAAGUGCAAGUUACUGUCAUUAUAGCUUCUCUAAUUAUCUUUCAACCUUUUUUUUUUUCAAUAUAUAUAUACAUGAUGUCCAUAUGUUGCAAAUAACAGGGUUUUAUGACUUUUGUUCUCUCACCUUUCCCAUAGCUUACAUUCCAUUUUAAUUGCUACACUGAUAUCAGAUGCUUCACUUAAUGAUCUUGCACCAGUGCUCCCUAUUUGUGGUGAUAACGCUCUUGGGGGAGCAAAACCACCUGCCUCGUGGUUGUAGGCUACGUGCUGUUCUCGUGGACGUCCACUAGAUGGCAAAGCCGGUAUUUUUGUUGAGUUUACAUGCCACCUUCAGCUAAUAACUAACCCUAGGGUAUGUGCACAGGCUAAAAAUGGCGAUUAAAGGACACCGAAUGGUGUCUCCGUGGAAAAGAGUGUAUUUCCUAGGGUUAAUAACAAAACAGGAGAAUGAAAGACUCAGUUAUAAAAUGGUGAUGCUCUCAGGAAAGCACAGUGUUCUCUCUAUUCUCUGUGAAUCUCUGUAGGAGUCAUCUCUGAGGUAGAAUCGUUUGUUUUCCAGUGGAAAUAAAUUCUAUGGAGAUAAUAAUA
ensembl:lncRNA